CACAGAGUCGACACGGUCGACAAAGUCUCUUUUCCCCAUGUAGACUCCAACCUGGAGCGGCAGGAAAAGACACACUGAUGACAUGCAGGAUCUUCUUGAAAACGACAUUCUUUGGACUCAUGUUGGUGAGGAUGGAGGGCAGCGAGUCAGCAGCGCCUGAGAGAAAGAACCCGACACGUAAACAUCUUCCAUCACAAAUGAAGGGUGUGUUGUUGUUGAAUGAGAGGAGGAGACAGACGCCGGUCAGAGAAGCUCUAUAUGUCAACACCUGCUGUCCGUCACAGCCUCCUUCACCCGCAUCAGCCAAUCAGGUGACCCGGCUGUGAACUUUGA